rnacentral:rRNA from 1 species
GAUGAACGCUGGCGGCGUGCCUAAUACAUGCCAGUCGAGCGAACAGACGAGGAGCUUGCUCCUCUGACGUUAGCGGCGGACGGGUGAGUAACACGUGGAUAACCUACCUAUAAGACUGGGAUAACUUCGGGAAACCGGAGCUAAUACCGGAUAAUAUAUUGAACCGCAUGGUUCAAUAGUGAAAGACGGUUUUGCUGUCACUUAUAGAUGGAUCCGCGCCGCAUUAGCUAGUUGGUAAGGUAACGGCUUACCAAGGCAACGAUGCGUAGCCGACCUGAGAGGGUGAUCGGCCACACUGGAACUGAGACACGGUCCAGACUCCUACGGGAGGAAGCAGUAGGGAAUCUUCCGCAAUGGGCGAAAGCCUGACGGAGCAACGCCGCGUGAGUGAUGAAGGUCUUCGGAUCGUAAAACUCUGUUAUUAGGGAAGAACAAAUGUGUAAGUAACUAUGCACGUCUUGACGGUACCUAAUCAGAAAGCCACGGCUAACUACGUG